rnacentral:misc_RNA from 1 species
GAUGAAGAACGUAGCGAAAUGCGAUACUUGGUGUGAAUUGCAGAAUCCCGUGAACCAUCGAGUCUUUGAACGCAAGUUGCGCCCGAAGCCUCGGCUAAGGGCACGUCUGCCUGGGCGUCACGCAUCGCGUCUCCCCCAAACCGCCAAGGCGGAGGGGAAGGAAGAUGGCUUCCCGUGCCUCACCCGGGCGCGGUUGGCCUAAAUUUGGAGCCCGCGGCACUUAGCUCUCGCGGCGAUAGGUGGUGAACAAGGCCUUGGCCGUGCAAACAACCCGCUGCGAAGCUCUAUGUCACGUGCGCUCGUCGGACCCUUUGAAGUUGCCUUCGGUGACUUAAAACCUUUGCGACCCAAGGUCAGGCGGGGCUACCCGCUGAAUUUAAGCAUAUCAAUAAGCGGAGGA